rnacentral:rRNA from 1 species
AGCCCAGAGCCUGAAUCAGUGUGUGUGUUAGUGGAAGCGUCUGGAAAGGCGCGCGAUACAGGGUGACAGCCCCGUACACAAAAAUGCACAUGCUGUGAGCUCGAUGAGUAGGGCGGGACACGUGGUAUCCUGUCUGAAUAUGGGGGGACCAUCCUCCAAGGCUAAAUACUCCUGACUGACCGAUAGUGAACCAGUACCGUGAGGGAAAGGCGAAAAGAACCCCGGCGAGGGGAGUGAAAAAGAACCUGAAACCGUGUACGUACAAGCAGUGGGAGCACAGAGCAAUCUGUGUGACUGCGUACCUUUUGUAUAAUGGGUCAGCGACUUAUAUUCUGUAGCAAGGUUAACCGAAUAGGGGAGCCGAAGGGAAACCGAGUCUUAACUGGGCGUUAAGUUGCAGGGUAUAGACCCGAAACCCGGUGAUCUAGCCAUGGGCAGGUUGAAGGUUGGGUAACACUAACUGGAGGACCGAACCGACUAAUGUUGAAAAAUUAGCGGAUGACUUGUGGCUGGGGGUGAAAGGCCAAUCAAACCGGGAGAUAGCUGGUUCUCCCCGAAAGCUAUUUAGGUAGCGCCUCGUGAAUUCAUCUCCGGGGGUAGAGCACUGUUUCGGCAAGGGGGUCAUCCCGACUUACCAACCCGAUGCAAACUGCGAAUACCGGAGAAUGUUAUCACGGGAGACACACGGCGGGUGCUAACGUCCGUCGUGAAGAGGGAAACAACCCAGACCGCCAGCUAAGGUCCCAAAGUCAUGGUUAAGUGGGAAACGAUGUGGGAAGGCCCAGACAGCCAGGAUGUUGGCUUAGAAGCAGCCAUCAUUUAAAGAAAGCGUAAUAGCUCACUGGUCGAGUCGGCCUGCGCGGAAGAUGUAACGGGGCUAAACCAUGCACCGAAGCUGCGGCAGCGAC